CAAACGUCGUACUAAGAGUCAGCCUGCCAGUGACAAAGUUUAACGGCCGCGGUACUCUGACCGUGCGAAGGUAGCAUAAUCACUUGUUCUUUAAAUGGGGACUUGUAUCAACGGCAUCACGAGGGCCAUACUGUCUCCUUUUUCCAAUCAGUGAAACUGAUCUUCCCGUGAAGAAGCGGGAAUUAACCUAUAAGACGAGAAGACCCCAUGGAGCUUUAAACCCAACAACAAGUCUAAAUAAACAUACCCUAAAAAUUAGUGACACCUGAACUGUUGGUUUUAGGUUGGGGUGACCGCGGAGUAUAAAUUAACCUCCACGACGAACGGGACUAAACCCUUAUCUACGAGCCACCGCUCUAAGAAUCAGCACACUGACUUCUAAUGAUCCGAUAUUCGAUCAACGAACCAAGUUACCCUGGGGAUAACAGCGCUAUCCAUUUCAAGAGCUCCUAUCGACAAAUGGGUUUACGACCUCGAUGUUGGAUCAGGGUAUCCUAGUGGUGCAGCCGCUACUAAAGGUUUGUUUGUUCAACAAUUAAAACCCUACGUGAUCUGAGUUCAAAACAGGACACUUCCCUUUAAAAAAAAAAUACCCCCCUUUUUUAUUUAAAAAAAGAUAUAUACCUUCAAAAGAAAAAAUUUUACCGCGGGGAGUUAUUCACAAGCGAGCGCAAGGGCCUAACCACUUUUUUUUUGAAGGGGGGGCUAUAGCAGCCCCUUCUGAACGGCGUAUUUUUUUUUUUUUUUAAUAAAAGAAAACAGCAUUACAGAGAGAGGGGGUCUAUUAUGGCGAGAGAAGAAAAAUGGUGUGUGUUCUCCCCCCCCAGAGUGAUAAUUAACACGCCCCACACUCUCUGACACGUGAGGUUGUGUGUGUUGUGUCUAGCUGGUGGGGAUAUAACACGACCGUGGGGGUGAUAAGCACUCGGCGGUGCCUCGCACGACAGUCGAAGCAGCCCGCGCUCGCAAAGAUAAAGCUAUCUUGACAUAGG
rnacentral:rRNA from 1 species